AGGUGCGAUCAUAUCAGCACUAAUGCACCAGAAACCAUCAGAACUCCGCAGAUAAGCGUGCUUGGGAGAGAGUAGUACUAGGAUGGGUGACCUCCUGGGAAGUCCUCGUGUUGCACCUC
rfam:Lupinus angustifolius cultivar Tanjil contig_1834, whole genome shotgun sequence.